GAGUGCUCCGCCGCCCGCGCCGCCCGCGCCCCCCGCGCCCCCUUCCACGCGUGCUCUGUCCCGGGACGCCCAGCCCGCGGUUCAUCGCCUCUGCCUCUGACACGGACCCCUUUGGGCCUGCGCUGUCCAGGCCUCUCUCUGGGUCACCGCUCCGCGCCGCUUGUGCCUCUCUCUGCCUCAGUUUCCCCCUCUCAGGCCUCCUGCGCCUCGGUCCUGAGCCCUUCCCUUUCCUCUUGAAGCUGCCUCCCAGCACCGGAGUAAGAGACCUCAAGGAGAGGCUGGAGGUGGUGGGAAGAGGUGGCGUCUCUGCGUCCUUUAGGCGCAAAAAGGCCUGGCCUGCCGGUUCAGGGCGGUCACAGGACUCCUGUGUGAGGUCCUGAGGGGGCUAGAGAGAGGCAGGCCCACCAGCCCCGCGAGGAGCACGGAAAGGGGCCAAGAGCAGCCCACUCUGAGAUCCCUGAUCAUACCAAGACAGACCCGGGGACACAGAAAGCAAGACAAGCCGUGUCGGGCUCCGUGGGGGACCCGACUCCCCGCUUGCUUCCCUCCCUUGCAUGUCUGUGCUCUGGCCCCAACAUCUGGAGUCUGGCAUUCAGCAGAUGUCGCAGGGCCCAGGCAGACACGGGGACAGCACGGGAAGCCUCCCGAGAGCGAGUCUGUGACCAGAACACGGACCUCGCCAUUACCUGAUGUCCUGGAUACCAAGGAGCUGGCUUCAAGGGGCAUGCUCUGGACACAUUAGAUGUGAGACGCCCGUUAAACAUCCAAGGAGAGGAGGCUCGUGGGUCUCAGUUUCCUGUGAAGACCAGACUGGCAUUGUUAGGAGUCCUCAGUGAUGUGGGUAGGAUCCUUCAGGGGUCCAAUGACAAGAGCAUAGGCGCUUCAGUAUUGCAAGAGUGAAAACAAAAUGCUGAGGAGGACUUGGGGAAGAGAUGAGGGCCUGGGACUCACCUUCACUAUCCUUCCUCCUCAGCAGCCCUUGCUGCCGCUUAUCUAGAGGUCCUGUUACUUGCUGUCUGUCUGUCACUUCCUGGAAACCCCACACAACUGCCACACUAGCCACCCAGCACCCCUCAUCGUGACCAGGGCCUGCAAGAUUUCAGAUGCUCCGCAUUCUGGCUCAGGAAAAACGGUGGAGAUCAACAGGGCCUGAAAUCCUGCCUCAUCUUUACUGCUUUGUCAAUGGGGAAACUGAGGCCUUGAGAAACAGCUUGCCCCGCCAGCUAGUGACAGGGCUCCUGGGGCAGAACUGAGAGUUCUUCAUGUACCUGCACUGCCACAGGCAGCAGAGGGCUGAGCACUUUGUCCACGCACAAGAGGGAGGCUUGAAGGGGACAGUGGAGGCAGAAGAAAUUCUCCCUCUUCAGAAACUUUCACAAAGAUGUCACCGGCUCCCCCUCUCCACUUCUUUGCUUUCAUUCUUGGUGACUUCCUAAUAUGGACUAUCCCCUCCACUCUAGGUAGUUUCUGUCCUCGAAACCUUUCUCUGACCUGGUAAACCAGCCCCUAGAUGCUCUUGGAUUGCUGAGCCUGUCAGGUGGCUCAGACCCUGAGCCAACACUCAGCCAUCUUCUUCCAGUUUCCAAGUUCUUCAGCCCUGUUGUCAAAAUGUCACUAAGCGAGCUGAGUGCGCCAGCAUCUUCUCUUGAAGAAUUCCAGUCAUCUGUAUUGUUGGCUGCUGCAGACCCCUAACUGAUCACCCUCGCUGGUUCUAUUCCCCACUGGUCCCUGUCCUGUGCUCACCCUGCUGGCUGGCCUGUCUUCAGUGCCUCAGCUUCUGGAAGAAACUGAUGCGACUUUAUCUACAGGAGGAUGGAUCUCCUCCGCCUCAGGGUUGAGUCUUCAGUUACACAAGCCCCCAUGCUGUGGAGCCAGGAGCUGGGACAACUAGUGAGAACAGACCUGUUCUCCCAGCCGGCCACCCGGACCUCCCACAGGUUCCGUCUCCGAAAUGCUGAGAUUGCUGGUGAGCACCACAUGUCUGACGACGGAGAGGGAGGUCUGUUUGAAAGGAGGAUCUAAAGCAAUCAUCCUAAUGGAAUGGUCACGACGGAGGAAGCCACGGUCUGCUUGUUAUGGUUUGAAUACGAAGGAGGCCCCACAGGCCUGCAUAUGGAACAAAUUGGUCCCCAGCCGGGGGUGCUGUUUUAGGAGGGGGGGACAUUGAGAGGUGGGCUUAGACGGAGGAGGGUGGCUGGCGCAUGCCUCUGAAGGGUAGCCCGUUCCUGGCUGCUGUAGGUGGACAGCUCUGCCCUCGACACCACUAUGGUGCUGAGCUUUGUUGGGCACAGCGUUGCCUCAGCCAUAGCUGAGACUGUGAGCUGGGACAUGGCCUUUCAGCUGCUCCUCAGACUUCGUCGUAGUGACAGGAAACCCAACUCCACCCCAAAUAAAUUCUUCAUUGUCCAACUAAGGGCAGGGGCAUGUCUUGGAAAAGGUAACUGGCCAAAAGGAAAUCUGGGUUCUGAUUCUGACCUGAGUCUCUUCCUUCUGGGGCCAUAGUUUCCUCAUGUAUAAGACACAGAGCUGGAUUCCGUGAACCUCCAAGGCCAUUUAGAGGUGGGUGGAGGCUGAGGUAAACAAACACAGGACAAUGACAAUAGCCAUGUAUUUGACCAUUAGGAUGUGCUGCGCGUUUUCCAUAGGUCGUUCUACUUCACAUUCAACCACAUGAUGAUAGAACAUUAUUCCUAUGAGGAAACUAAGGCACAGAGAGCAUAAGUGACUUCGGCCUGUAGGUAGCAAAGGCAGAGUCAGGACCUAGGCGACCAUCUCCAGGGCUUGGACCUCAGUCACCGUCAUGUGAGGUCUGGCUCCAGGUCUCGUAACCAGGGUCAGGGCGCUGGCCCUGCUGCCUGCAGCCCAGAGUUUCUUCCACUUGGUUCAGCGACCUGUUCAGCCAGGACAGUGGCGCCUCGAGCUUAGGGAGCUAGAGCUAAGCUCUACUCCACCUCAUACACUUUGAAAAAAGGCCUUAGGACAGCGUGAGGAUUCCUUUUGUUUUGUUGUGUAUUUGAGGGAGGGCCUUACUGUGUGGUCCAGCCUGUCUUGAACUGGAGAUCCUCCUGCUUCGGUCUCCUGAGUGCUGGGCUUACACAUACAUGCUGCCAUACCCAGCUCUAGAACCUGGCUUCUUGGAAGAGGCCUUGGCAGGCUUUAGCUUUGCAGAGAGGGACUCCAGGAAGCACUGCGUGUUCCUGGCACGAGCAUCACGUAUGCAAUCCUAUGUAACAUUUCUUCCCUGGGCUUCUGCAAGCUGAGGAUGUGGCUCAGUAAUAGAACUGCCCUCGCAUCAAUGAGGCCUUAGGUCCAACUCCAAGAACCAAAAGAAAGAAAGCUUGCUCUUUAGCCAGAUGUGGUGGACACAUCUCUAGUUUCAGUCCAAAGCCCUUCUCUGCCUCUCAUUUGCCCCAGGGGACCCGGAGCCAGGAGCUGAAGAGCCCACCGAGUUCCGAUUCCACUCGGUACUUCAGCCUCCUGCAAGGCUGUGCUGCUUGAACUCUGGGUUGGAUUUGGCUUCUUCCUCAGAAGACAAUUUAUGGCGACAUGUCGGAGACUCUGU